ensembl:miRNA tgu-mir-2987 tgu-mir-2987
UUAGGCCGAAAGAGCAGCCAGAGCCUUCCCUCAAUGUCUGUUUUACAGAGAGCAAGGCUGAGGCUGUUCUCAGAGCCUGA